UCAGAAGUGAACUCUCCCACGGCAACUGCAGACCCACCCUUUGCAGCGCAAGAACACGCCUGAGGGAGUGAGUCUUGCCACAUAGAGAAACUGGCCACAUGUUAGUGACCAAGCAGCAACUCCAAGGAGUUAAACCAAACAGCUUUGGGGCCUCAGAAGAUUGUUAUGGAGAAGGACCGAAUUGAAGCCCAUUCCCAUCUCAGCCACCAGAGGAAGAGUCCCUCUGCCUUAGGAGGGAUGUUGGGGAGAGGACCCCAAUCUUUGACAAAGGGAAUGCGGCUUCUUGAUCAUGCUUCAGUUUCAAAGAGGAAGAGCUCCCACUAGGUUGGAUUACCCAUCGUCCUCAAGGCCUGUGGCACACAAAUGUCAGUGCCGAUGGCAAAGUUCAGGACAUAACCAUAACUGCCAAUGGAAUCAUUUACCACAAACUGCCAGUUAUCCUUAAUCUUAUGUGCUGAAUACUAUCCCUACCAAGAAGACUUCAAGGAUCUGGGUUUUAGUAAAUUUAUAUAUAUAUAUAUAUUUCCCC
rnacentral:lncRNA from 1 species